rnacentral:rRNA from 1 species
UACAGAGGUCCCAAGCGUUGUUCGGAUUCACUGGGCGUAAAGGGUGCGUAGGCGGUCGGGUAAGUCUGACGUGAAAUCUCGGAGCUUAACUCCGGAACUGCGUCGGAAACUAUCUGGCUAGAGGAUUGGAGGGGGGACUGGAAUUCUCGGUGUAGCAGUGAAAUGCGUAGAUAUCGAGAGGAACACCUGCGGCGAAGGCGAGUCCCUGGACAAUUUCUGACGCUGAGGCACGAAAGCUAGGGGAGCAAACAGGAUUAGAUACCCUGGUAGUCCUAGCCCUAAACGGUGCACGUUUGCUGUGGGCGGAAUCGACCCCGCCCGUGGCGAAGCUAACGCGUUAAACGUGCCGCCUGGGAAGUACGGCCGCAAGGUUA